rnacentral:rRNA from 1 species
UUGUUGGUAAGGUAAAAGCUUACCAAGGCUUCGAUCAGUAGCUGGUCUGAGAGGACGACCAGCCACACUGGGACUGAGACACGGCCCAGACUCCUACGGGAGGCAGCAGUGGGGAAUUUUGGACAAUGGGGGCAACCCUGAUCCAGCCAUGCCGCGUGAGUGAAGAAGGCCUUCGGGUUGUAAAGCUCUUUCAGCCGGAACGAAACGGUUACGGAUAACACCCGUGACUACUGACGGUACCGGAAGAAGAAGCACCGGCUAACUACGUGCCAGCAGCCGCGGUAAUACGUAGGGUGCGAGCGUUAAUCGGAAUUACUGGGCGUAAAGCGUGCGCAGGUGGUUUUGUAAGUCAGAUGUGAAAGCCCCGGGCUCAACCUGGGAACUGCGUUUGAAACUACAAGACUAGAGUGUGGCAGAGGGGGGUGGAAUUCCGCGUGUAGUAGUGAAAUGCGUAGAGAUGUGGAGGAACACCGAUGGCGAAGGCAGCCCCCUGGGUCAACACUGACGCUCAGGCACGAAAGCAUGGGGAGCAAACAGGAUUAGAUACCCUGGUAGUCCAUGCCCUAAACGAUGUCAACUAGUUGUCGGGCCUUUACGGGCUUGGUAACGUAGCUAACGCGUGAAGUUGACCGCCUGGGGAGUACGAUCGCAAGAUUAAAACUCAAAUGAAUUGACGGGGACCCGCACAAGCGGUGGAUUAUGUGGAUUAAUUCGAUGCAACGCGAAAAACCUUACCUACCCUUGACAUGUAUCGAAGCCCGCAGAAAAGCGGGGGUGCCCGAAAGGGAACGAUAACACAGGUGCUGCAUGGCUGUCGUCAGCUCGUGUCGUGAGAUGUUGGGUUAAGUCCCGCAACGAGCGCAACCCUUGUCAUUAAUUGCCAUCAUUUAGUUGGGCACUUUAAUGAGACUGCCGG